UUCUGAUAUCAUGCAGUCAGUCACACUUCCCCUUUUUCAAACAAAGAAACUGAGGCCCUGAGUGCCAGGUCAGGCCUGGGAUUCCCCCAGCCACAGGCAGGCAGUUCCAGACCCAGGGACGGCCUCUGGACGGGUCUUGCCCAGGACCCCGAGAGUCAUUCACUGCAGCCUCAUUGCAGCUGGCACCAAUAGUCCCCCAAACUCUGCGCAAACCAGCUUCCACCUCACACGUGUUUUCAAAAUUUCCCGGUCUACGAUGCCAAGCACGGAUGAGAUCUAAUGCCACCAGUGCACCUAAUGCCACAACUCCCUUGGUGUUACCUGUGGAGGAGGAAAGGGCAAAUGACAGAAGGAGGUAUAAAGAACAGGUGCAGAUCAAAAGCCACACAGACCCAGAGCCCUGAAUAUUUCCUGGCUCUCAUCCAAGGUCAAAGAAAGAGGACAGGGUAUUACUAGCUGAAGCCUCCCGUGCAAGAUACACCUCUCUACAGACUCAGCAUCCCACUUUGUGAAAAUGUGAACCUCCAGUGCCAGCUCCAGUUGAUAAGGAAGGCUGCCUACAACACUGUUCAGCAAAGGAUUCUGAGGCCUGUCCAGGUCCAGAGGGAAAAGCAUGGUGAUCGAUUAGUUUUGUCUGCCAAGGGCACUGAAAAGUGGGGUUUCAGUUCUGGGGGUUUCAGUUCUCUCCUGCUGUCUCAGUCAUGACUUUCUCCUUCCAGGAAGCCUCUGCAUGCCUCACUCUACCCUCCAAGCAACCUGGGCAGUGGGCAGGCCAAGAAUGAUUGAAGGGAAGGAAAUGAAGGCCCGCAGGCCAGGGAAAUCAUCCAAGUUUACACAAUGAGUCAGUGAAGAACAUGGGCCUGAGAACCUGGGUUCUAGCUCUCCUAUUACUACUAUGCCCUUUCCCCCCUACACACCCUCAGGGACACACAGAAAUGCAUUCUCAGCAGCCUCUUCCCCCAUGGAACUAGAGUUAUGUCUUCUGCUCUCAAACCCAGGGGAGGGGUGAGAAUUCAGCCACGUGAGACAGUCAGGAGGCUGCGAAGGGCCUGCCCCUACACACCCCUCACACACCCCUCAGCUGCCCGUGAACACUCCCCAUGAAAGGAAGAAAGAGGAGGCCAGUCCAGGCAGAGUUGUAUAACCUGUUCAUCCAUCUGCAGCUCGCGACACCAGCUCUAGCUGCAGCUUCCAGUCUGACCGUGAGCAUGUGCCACUCAGCAGGGUCACGGUCAAGUCUCAGACGAGCCCAGCUAGACCUCAGAAAAUGCUGAGGUACAGUGACCACCCCAAAAGGCCACGCUAGACAGUGAGAGGAGCACUGGACUUGGAGUCCAAACUCUCUGCUUGUGGUUUCAUCUCUGCCACUUUGGGAUCUCGGCCAAGUCCCCAUGCCACCUGGGGCCUGUUUCCUUUCUGUUCACUGAGGAUGUGGCCUUCCCAUCAGGCUGAGGCCUGUCCCAUCAGAGCGAUCCACAGGGAUUGUGCAUUGUGAACAUGCAGGCCAGUCCCAGUCGCAGACCGGAGCAAAUACGUGGGCAUGGGGCCUGAAAUCUGCAGGGUUCACCAAAGGACUCUGAGAGCUAGGGACUGAGCCCAGCCACUCAGCAAAAGGCACUCAGCUCCCAAACCUGCAGCCUCAUCUCCAUGACUCCCUCAGUCAGCCCUGAAGAAUCCCGGCUACUUUCUGAGCUGGCUGAUGGGGUUUCAACACAAAAGGGAGCGGCCACACUCAGUGCAGGGCAAAGGCAGGAGGAAGCGGGGUGAGGCUCAAGCCUCACUGCUGCUGGGGCUCAGGGGCCUGUAUCAUGCUGGCCCCUGCCCAGAGGAUGUUGAGGACACAGGGAACCCAGGAUGAGUGCCUGGGCUCCUCACAGGUGCUAAACUGGCGAGGCAGGGCUCAGAUUUGAGCCUUGAAGCUCAACUACAGAUGCCUUCUUUCUGACUGCAGGGGCAUGGCAGGGCUGGCUGGGAUCCUGGGGACACUCUGGAGAAACAGCAGCAGGGUACAUGGUGAGGGUCCAGCACACUGGGCCCAUCCUAGGUUGCCCAGUGCUGGAAUUUCACCAGCCAGCCUGGCAACUGUGUCUUCCUCCUCCAGAAAUAAAUGUUCAGCUUCUUCCC